rnacentral:rRNA from 1 species
UACGGAGGGUGCAAGCGUUAUCCGGAUUCACUGGGUUUAAAGGGUGCGUAGGAGGGCAGGUAAGUCAGUGGUGAAAUCCUAGAGCUUAACUCUAGAACUGCCGUUGAUACUAUCUGUCUUGAAUAUUGUGGAGGUGAGCGGAAUAUGUCAUGUAGCGGUGAAAAUGCUUAGAUAUGACAUAGAACACCAAUUGCGAAGGCAGCUCGCUACACAUAUAUUGACUCUGAGGCACGAAAGCGUGGGGAUCAAACAGG